GAUGAACGCUGGCGGCGUGCCUAAUACAUGCAAGUCGAGCGAACGGACGAGAAGCUUGCUUCUCUGAUGUUAGCGGCGGACGGGUGAGUAACACGUGGAUAACCUACCUAUAAGACUGGGAUAACUUCGGGAAACCGGAGCUAAUACCGGAUAAUAUUUUGAACCGCAUGGUUCAAAAGUGAAAGACGGUCUUGCUGUCACUUAUAGAUGGAUCCGCGCUGCAUUAGCUAGUUGGUAAGGUAACGGCUUACCAAGGCAACGAUGCAUAGCCGACCUAAGAGGGGGAUCGGCCACACUGGAACUGAGACACGGUCCAGACUCCUACGGGAGGCAGCAGUAGGGAAUCUUCCGCAAUGGGCGAAAGCCUGACGGAGCAACGCCGCGUGAGUGAUGAAGGUCUUCGGAUCGUAAAACUCUGUUAUUAGGGAAGAACAUAUGUGUAAGUAACUGUGCACAUCUUGACGGUACCUAAUCAGAAAGCCACGGCUAACUACGUG
rnacentral:rRNA from 1 species